rnacentral:rRNA from 1 species
UGCGUAGGUGGUUUUGUAUGUCGAAUGUGAAAGCCCACCGCUUAACGGUGGAAGGUCAUUCGAAACUGCAGGACUAGAGUACAGGAGAGGAGAGCGGAAUUCUUGGAGUAGCGGUGAAAUGCGUUGAUAUCAAGAAGAACACCGGUGGCGAAGGCGGCUCUCUGGAAUGAUACUGACACUGAGGCACGAAAGCUGGGGGAGCAAACAGGAUUAGAUACCCUGGUAGUCC